rnacentral:rRNA from 1 species
CCAAUAGCGUAUAUUAAAGUUGUUGCAGUUAAAAAGCUCGUAGUUGAAUUUUAGGCCUGACCGGGCGGUCCGUCUCUGGCGAGUACUGUUCUGUUGUCGGGUCUAUCCUUCUGGUGAGCCGGUAUGUCCUUUAUUGGGUGUGUCGGGGAACCAGGACCAUUACCUUGAAAAAAUUAGAGUGUUUAAAGCGGGCUUUUGCUUGAAUAGAUUAGCAUGGAAUAAUAGAAUAGGACGUUGGUUCUAUUUUGUUGGUCUAGGACCACCGUAAUGAUUAAUAGGGAUAGUUGGGGGCAUUAGUAUUCAAUUGUCAGAGGUGAAAUUCUUGGAUUUAUUGAAGACUAACUACUGCGAAAGCAUUUGCCAAGAAUGUUUUCAUUAAUCAAGAACGAAAGUUAGGGGAUCGAAGACGAUCAGAUACCGUCGUAGUCUUAACCAUAAACUAUGCCGACUAGGAAUCGGGCGACGUUACUUUCAUGACUCGCUCGGCGCCUUAUA